UACGGAGGGGGCUAGCGUUGUUCGGAAUUACUGGGCGUAAAGAGCUCGUAGGUGGUUUGUCGCGUUGUUCGUGAAAACUCACAGCUCAACUGUGGGCGUGCGGGCGAUACGGGCAGACUAGAGUACUGCAGGGGAGACUGGAAUUCCUGGUGUAGCGGUGGAAUGCGCAGAUAUCAGGAGGAACACCGGUGGCGAAGGCGGCGACCUGGUCCGAUACUGACGCUGAGGCGCGAAAGCGUGGGGAGCAAACAGG
rnacentral:rRNA from 1 species